rnacentral:rRNA from 1 species
GUUGUGGUUAAAGCUCGUAGUUGAACCUUGGGCCUGGCUGGCCGGUCCGCCUCACCGCGUGUACUGGUCCGGCCGGGCCUUUCCCUCUGUGGAACCCCAUGCCCUUCACUGGGUGUGGCGGGGAAACAGGACUUUUACUUUGAAAAAAUUAGAGUGCUCCAGGCAGGCCUAUGCUCGAAUACAUUAGCAUGGAAUAAUAGAAUAGGACGUGUGGUUCUAUUUUGUUGGUUUCUAGGACCGCCGUAAUGAUUAAUAGGGACAGUCGGGGGCAUCAGUAUUCAAUUGUCAGAGGUGAAAUUCUUGGAUUUAUUGAAGACUAACUACUGCGAAAGCAUUUGCCAAGGAUGUUUUCAUUAAUCAGGAACGAAAGUUAGGGGAUCGAAGACGAUCAGAUACCGUCGUAGUCUUAACCAUAAACUAUGCCGACUAGGGAUCGGACGAUGUUAUUUUUUGACUCGUUCGGCACCUUACGAGAAAUCAAAGUGCUUGGGCUCCAGGGGGAGUAUGGUCGCAAGGCUGAAACUUAAAGAAAUUGACGGAAGGGCACCACCAGGGGUGGAGCCUGCGGCUUAAUUUGACUCAACACGGGGAAACUCACCAGGUCCAGACACAAUGAGGAUUGACAGAUUGAGAGCUCUUUCUUGAUUUUGUGGGUGGUGGUGCAUGGCCGUUCUUAGUUGGUGGAGUGAUUUGUCUGCUUAAUUGCGAUAACGAACGAGACCUUAACCUGCUAAAUAGCCCGUAUUGCUUUGGCAGUACGCUGGCUUCUUAGAGGGACUAUCGGCUCAAGCCGAUGGAGUUUGAGCAUAACAGUCUGUGAUGCCCUUAGAUGUUCUGGGCGCACGCGCGCUACACUGAC